UUGACGAGCUAAAGGGUCUUUACAGUAUUGUAGUUGGAAGGACUUUUACUUCACUAGGAAAUUAUCAAAUUGGUGACAAUGAACCAUCAGGUUCUGGAGGGUUAACAAGUACGACUUCAUGACAUGUUUAGUUCACUGUUUAGUGCUCUUUCUCUCUGUACAAAUGGGCCUCGCAAUUGCUGUUUAUUUAAUGAUGCUCUCUUGUGAGAUCAGAAAGGUUGGAGAACAAAGCCGCAACCAUUAUAUCCCUUAGAAGUUGCAAGAUUUACUCAUUCAUGGAAGCUUCGCUGUGGUUAUGAUCGUGCCAAUGAUGAUAAAGAUGUUUCCAACAUCGAGGCCAAGAUGAAUGAUGGUUGAUUGAAUGAUGUUGUGUUAUGAGAUCAGAAAUUAAGGUUGGAGAACAAAGCAGCAGCCAUUAGGUCCCUUAGCAGCUGCAAGAUUUGUAAGUUUAUGUAGUAUCUCCUUAUAGUGAUUUAAGUUAGAAGAACUUAGGAAUUUCGUAACUUUACAUGAACUGAACUUAGGAACCAAUUAUGUUUCUAAUGUGUACACUAGUUUGUUGUGAUACUUGGAAUACAUUUAUA